AGUGAACGCUGGCGGUAGGCCUAACACAUGCAAGUCGAACGGCAGCACAGUAAGAGCUUGCUCUUACGGGUGGCGAGUGGCGGACGGGUGAGGAAUACAUCGGAAUCUACUUUUUCGUGGGGGAUAACGUAGGGAAACUUACGCUAAUACCGCAUACGACCUACGGGUGAAAGAAGGGGAUCUUCGGACCUUGCGCGAUUGAAUGAGCCGAUGUCGGAUUAGCUAGUUGGCGGGGUAAAGGCCCACCACGGCGACGAUCCGUAGCUGGUCUGAGAGGAUGAUCAGCCACACUGGAACUGAGACACGGUCCAGACUCCUACGGGAGGCAGCAGUGGGGAAUAUUGGACAAUGGGCGCAAGCCUGAUCCAGCCAUACCGCGUGGGUGAAGAAGGCCUUCGGGUUGUAAAGCCCUUUUGUUGGGAAAGAAAAGCAGCAGGUUAAUACCCCGCUGUUCUGACGGUACCCAAAGAAUAAGCACCGGCUAACUUCGUG
rnacentral:rRNA from 1 species